rnacentral:rRNA from 1 species
UACGUAGGGUGCAAGCGUUAAUCGGAAUUACUGGGCGUAAAGCGUGCGCAGGCGGUUAUGCAAGACAGAUGUGAAAUCCCCGGGCUCAACCUGGGAACUGCAUUUGUGACUGUAUAGCUAGAGUACGGUAGAGGGGGAUGGAAUUCCGCGUGUAGCAGUGAAAUGCGUAGAUAUCGAGAGGAACACCGGUGGCGAAGGCGAGUCCCUGGUCCACCUCUGACGCUGAGGCGCGAAAGCGUGGGUAGCAAACAGG